rnacentral:rRNA from 1 species
AGAGUUUGAUCCUGGCUCAGGAUGAACGCUGGCGGCGCGCCUAACACAUGCAAGUCGAACGAGUAAGACGCCUUCGGGCGUGCAUAGAGUGGCGAACGGGUGAGUAACACGUGACCAACCUGCCCCCUCCUCCGGGACAACCUCGGGAAACCGAGGCUAAUACCGGAUACUCCGGGCCCCCCGCAUGGGGAGCCCGGGAAAGCCCUGGCGGGAGGGGAUGGGGUCGCGGCCCAUCAGGUAGACGGCGGGGUAACGGCCCACCGUGCCUGCAACGGGUAGCCGGGCUGAGAGGCCGAUCGGCCACAUUGGGACUGAGACACGGCCCAGACUCCUACGGGAGGCAGCAGUGGGGAAUUUUGCGCAAUGGGGGCAACCCUGACGCAGCGACGCCGCGUGCGGGACGAAGUCAUUCGUGACGUAAACCGCUUUCAGCGAGGAAGAACCAUGACGGUACUCGCAGAAGAAGCCCCGGCUAACUACGUGCCAGCAGCCGCGGUAAUACGUAGGGGGCGAGCGUUAUCCGGAAUCAUUGGGCGUAAAGCGCGCGCAGGCGGGCUUUCAAGCGGCGGCGUCGAAGCCGGGGGCUCAACCCCCGGAAGCGCCCCGAACUGGAAGCCUCGGAUGCGGCAGGGGGAGGCGGAAUUCCCGGUGUAGCGGUGAAAUGCGCAGAUAUCGGGAAGAACACCGACGGCGAAGGCAGCCUCCUGGGCCGGCAUCGACGCUGAGGCGCGAAAGCUGGGGGAGCGAACAGGAUUAGAUACCCUGGUAGUCCCAGCCGUAAACGAUGGACGCUAGGUGUGGGGGGACGAUCCCCCCGUGCCGCAGCCAACGCAUUAAGCGUCCCGCCUGGGGAGUACGGCCGCAAGGCUAAAACUCAAAGGAAUUGACGGGGGCC